GCUGACACAUCCCGGCCAAUCUCCAGCAGACCCUCCCUCCCAGACCCUCCUACUUCCUGGACAGCAUCCAUGUUGAAGGCAGCUUCAACAUGGAUGCUGUCCAGGAUGUGGGAGGGUCUGGGAGGGAGGGUCUGCUGGAGAUUGGCCGGGAUGUGUCAG
rnacentral:miRNA from 1 species